rnacentral:rRNA from 1 species
UGAGGAAUAUUGGUCAAUGGACGAGAGUCUGAACCAGCCAAGUCGCGUGAAGGAUGACUGCCCUACGGGUUGUAAACUUCUUUUAUAGGGGAAUAAAAAAGGUUAUAUAUAACCUAUUGCAUGUACCCUAUGAAUAAGCACCGGCUAACUCCGUGCCAGCAGCCGCGGUAAUACGGAGGGUGCGAGCGUUAUCCGGAUUUAUUGGGUUUAAAGGGUGCGUAGGCCGUCUGUUAGGCGUGUUGUGAAAUGUAGAUGCUCAACAUCUGAAUUGCAGCGCGAACUGGCAGACUUGAGUGUGCGCAACGUAGGCGGAAUUCGUGGUGUAGCGGUGAAAUGCUUAGAUAUUACGAAGAACUCCGAUUGCGAAGGCAGCUUACGGGAGCACAACUGACGCUGAAGC